AUUGAACGCUGGCGGCAGGCCUAACACAUGCAAGUCGAGCGGUAGAUACUUUCGGGUAUUGAGAGCGGCGGACGGGUGAGUAACGCGUGGGAAUCUGGCUCUUAGAGGGGGACAACUUGUGGAAACGCAAGCUAAUACCGCAUACGCCCUAAGGGGGAAAGCAGGGGAUCUUCGGACCUUGCGCUAAGAGAUGAGCCCGCGUCGGAUUAGCUAGUUGGUAGGGUAAAGGCCUACCAAGGCGACGAUCCGUAACUGGUCUGAGAGGAUGAUCAGUCACAAUGGAACUGAGACACGGUCCAGAGUCCUACGGGAGGCAGCAGUGGGGAAUAUUGGACAAUGGGGUCAACCCUGAUCCAGCCAUGCCGCGUGUGUGAAGAAGGCCUUCGGGUUGUAAAGCACUUUAAGUUGGGAGGAAAGGGUUAUGGCUAAUAUCCAUGAUCUAUGACGUUACCAACAGAAUAAGCACCGGCUAACUCCGUGCCAGCCGCCGCGGUAA
rnacentral:rRNA from 1 species